UACGCUCAUUAUUGAAGGAUUUGAGAUUAUUGCAUCCGAAGCUAGCAUUAUUAUAUUGUGAUAACACAGCAGCCUUACAUAUAGCUGCCAAUCCCGUUUUCCACGAAAGAACCAGACAUAUAGAAAUGGAUUGCCAUUUUAUUCGUGACAAAAUACAAGAUGGUUUAGUUGUAACCAAACAUGUUGCCUCAACAGAUCAACUUGCAGAUGUGUUCACCAAGCCAUUGGGAAAGGAAGCUUUCUCAACUAUGAUACGCAAGUUGGGAGUUCUUGACAUUCACUCUCCAACUUGAGGGGGAGUGUUGAGAAGGAAAGGUCAAUGAUAUUUGACCAUUCAUUGACAAAUAUAUUGUAUUAGUUGUAUAUUUGUUCAGUUGCCUUUUAUAUUUAGACUACCUAGAAUAGAUUAGCAUGAUUGUAGGAAAUCUCUUGUAUAAAGCUACGUCUCCAGAUUUAAUAAUAUUAUUCAAAAAGGCAAACAUUAUUUUCCUUCUUUACAAGAAUCUAAAUCCUAGAUCAAAAGAUGUAAUUUUUUUUUUAACUAAAGGGGAGCAUAUAAAAUUAUGCCAGUCAGUCAUUCAUACGUUUUGCAAAUCAAUUAUCAUUGUCUCUCAAUUCUUUUAAGUUUUUAAAGAAAAAAUAUUAGAUAAUCUAAUAUCUAAAUCUCAAUUUAAAUCCUCACUAAUGUAACAUUUAUUUAUUAGAUGGUAAUUAAAUAAUUUUACAACUCAUGAAAUUUAUUAUAUUAGGACUCAAGUAUUAGAAUCCCUUUUAAAGAUCUUGUGAUAUUUAUCUUUUAUUGUUAGUAUAUAAUUAAGAUUUAACUAUUUGCAUUUUUUUGAUCUAUUGACCACCAAUCAAAUAGAUUUUACUUAGGAGUAAAUCAUGAGAAAAUUUUAAUCUUUUACAGAUAAGUCAUAAUUCCUUUAUUUAUUUAUAUCAAAAUUGAAAAUAUUUGAAACUCCUCGUUGAGAAGUUGUUAACUCGUACUCAUCAAAGAUCUCGACGAACCAACAAAUUUGGAUUCUUUGGGCUAAUAUUAAUAUAUUGGAUUAUAUACAAAAGGGGAAAAAAAAUUAUAGUUAUACUCCACAAUAUUGUUCAAUUUUUGAGGUUAUUGUCCAAAAUUAUAAGACAAAUAAUUACUUAAUACAUAGCAAUUAUUGUUAGUGAGAUAACAUUCGGAUGCAAUUGUUAAAAUCUUAUCCCAAAACUACAAUAUGUUACGUCAAAAUAUAUCUAUCCAGUGUUACGUCAAAAAUUUACUCUCAAAUCUUAGGAAGAUACCUUCUCUUAGAUCUAAAUUUUUUUGAAAAUAAGAAAUUGAGCCCCCACUGUCGGACUUGAAACUCUCGCCCUAGAGCCUGAGUUCGCCACUGAGCAAUUAAGCCCUGUGACACAUAUUAUUUAUCUAAGUUUGAAAAAAUAAUGCACGUACAAAAUUAGAGAUAUGAAUUAAUUGUUUUCAAAUUUUCUAGUCUUUUGUCUCUAUUUUUGCCCUCCAUGUUUUACACGUCCGUAUCAUUCAUUAAUCCCAAGUUCAUAUGUUCAAAAUCUUGUAUAGUCUAAUUGUUAUUACUUUUCAAUAUUUAUUUUUCAUUUUGUAAAAACAGAUAAUAAAAGAAACGUGUUUGGUAGUCGUCGGCAAUUCGGAUUUCGGCAUCAUACAAAUGGUGUUCACUUUAUAUCUCACUGUGCAUGAGACCCACCAAUAAUUUCACAACAUUUAUUGCUUGCUGACAAUGUAUCCCGUACCUUUGGUUGUUGUAGCCUGUAGGGUGCUGCGAGUUCGCCUAUUCAAAUACUACGUACCACUCAGUCUUUACAUUUUUUUUAUAAUAUUCAAUAAUUUUUUUAUAUUAUAAUUUUAUAAUAUUAUUCUUAUUUUUAAAUAUAUUUAUAUUUAUUAUAAAUUUUAUUAAUUACAUAAAUAAAAUUAAAAAUUUAAAUUUAAAUAGUAAAAAUAACAUAAUAUUAAUAAUAAAAUAUUUUUUGUUGUUUUUAUAAACUUUUUUUCUCAUGAUAAAUAUUUAUUUUAUAUUCCUAACAAUCUAAUAUCAAGUAAAUGACUCAUUUAUCCCUCUUUUCUUUCAAAAUUUUUGUAUUGGGGGAGUUAUUAGAUAUUAUUAAAACAAUAAAAAAAUAAGUGGUAUAUAUUUAUUUUAGUAGGGAGAAACUAUCAAUCUUCAUUUUAUGUGCAAAUAAUAUAAUGUAUAAAAAUUAUUCCUGGGGCUAUAUUUUUUUUAUUAAAAUUAUAUAAGUACAACUAUUUUUCUCCUUUACAUUAUCGUUUAUAUUUCUACCUUUUUAUUUUCAGAUACUCCUUUAAAAAUAAAACCACUAAACAUAUUUCUAAAUUGACCAGAAAUUAAUUACUUCUUUGCAAUAAAACAAACACAAAAAACACCAUUCUAAAAAACAAUAGAAAAGGCAUCCGAAUUUUUCUGUCAAAAAAAAAAAAGCAUCCGAAUUUUUGAGUGAAUCUUCACGUUGACUUGAGUCGUCUCUUAUACUUUUGGAUGAACCAUGAUGUACGAUUGAAUGAUGUCAAUCACUUUAUUAAAGUCAGCAAACACUUUGUACCAAAACCUCAACCACUGGUCAAAGUUGUAAUUGGGCAAGUAAACAUUGAUUAUUGAUAGAAACCAUUUAGUUGUUGGAUUAUUUUCAGUAUCCAAAGAGAUGAUAUCGUGGCUAGCUACCAAGUUUCAGUGAUACUUUAAGCUCUAAAGGCAUAAAUUUUUAUCAAGCAUUACUGAAAUACUAAAGAUGCCAUUUUGACAGGGUUAACAAAAAAAACUGUACCAAAUUGCUUACCCUGCAGGAAAAAUUAUAGGAAAAUUCAUUGGAAAAGGGAAUGCAGAUUCAAGAAGGAUCAGUACUUCUCAUUAACUUUGAUCAUCAUAUUUCAACGAUCAUAGAUAAGCUGUAGUUUUGUUAUUCAGCUUUGCUCCCUUUUUUCCGACCAGCUCUUUGCAAUUUUACUUGAUCAAAAAUCCCAAUUCUCAUUUCAAUCUUCUGUUAAUCUUCUUAAUCUCAAGAUGAAAGUCGAGGAGUUGAAGGGUGAAAUUAAGCGAGAGAAUUCAGCACCGGGUUGAUGAAUGAUGAGGCUAAAACAGACACCGUGUGCCCUUUACCAAGGCAUGCAUCUUUUGUUUCUUGAACAUGUGUGAUGGCUCCAUCCUUGUGAAAGAUUGAAAAUUGAUUAAAUAAUAACCACCCAGAUAAAAUGUAAGUAGGAAAGAAAGAAAGUAAUAAAAUAGAAUAACUUCUUCCGGACGUCCAAACUUUUUGUUAAAAUUCAAAUCAUGAAUUCACAACGCUAUUUUUAUAGCAUUUUGUUGUGUUAGGUUCUAAUUAAAUUUACUGAUCAACCAUGUCUUUAAAAAAAUAAAUCAAUCUUGGCUUAACCCCUGCUUUCUUUACUGUUUGUACUGCUGUCGUAAGUUCGUAAACAGCUCUUAACAAACUCUUCAAGAAACUUUUAAAAAUAAGAUAAAGAAUAUAAAUUUCAUUUUUAUUAAUUCAUAAGCCCGAAGGCUCAUACAAGUACUCGAAACAUGAAAAAAAAAAAAAUGACACAAUUAACGUAGUUUAGGCAUAAUGAUUGGUUGAUAAAAAUUGAGUCAAUCAAUAUUGAUAUCGAUUUUAGUCAAUCUUUCUUAAUUAAUAAUUUAUAUUGAUUGCUUUGUUUCCAUCAAUGUUGUGUGAUUCUAAUCUAUCCUCCCCCAAGAUGUCAAAAACAUUUUUUGAACUCUUAGCUUGCUUUGAAAAUUGUAAAUUCUUGAUUUUUAUUUACAGUUCUCAUCCUAAUGUCAUGCAACAAAUCAUGAAGCAUUCCUUUAAAGCUUGAUUAGGAAAUUUUCUAAUUGAUUUCAUGUGCACAUUUAUUUUAAGAUCGUAAAAAUCAUAAGCAAUAGAUUCCUUUGAUCAAGAAAUUCUUUCAGUAUGAAAGUUGUUCCUUUGAUUUUUUUUUUCAAAGAAAUCUUCACUCCUGUGAUCUUACCAUAGAAUUCUUUCAUUUACAAAGCUAUUCCAUUAAUCUUGUCAAGGAAAAUAUCAAUAUCAAUAAUUCCUUUUCGUUCUCUUUUUCUUUUGGUAUCAUUUCCUUUGUGGUGGCUGAAGUGGUGGUUGAUGGUCCGGCGGUUGUUGUUGUUGUUAUUAUUAUUAUUAUUAUUAUGGUGAAGAAAUUGUAGAACAACUAGAACGGUACUCACAUUUCUCUGCUCUAAACCACCAUGAUCAAGAAACUCAUCAUUAAUAUUGUGGGGAAGCCUAAAUCCAUGAACUCUAGGACUCUGAAACUCGUAUCGACAUCAUGAAAAUUUUAAAAAAUAAUGUAAAGAACAUAAAAUUUACUUUUAUUAAUUUAUAACCAUAAAGGCUCGCUCCUCAAUUUAUACAAGAAUUUGAAAUAUGAAAAAUAAAAACAAUACAACUAACAUAAUUUAAAAAUAAUGAUUGAUUUGUAAGAUUGAAUGAAUUAAUCUUUAUGUUGAUUUACAAUUAAUUUUUUGUUAUCAAUAAUUAAGAUGGAGAAAAUCUUUCAUUUGAUUGAUUUUAUUAAUUAUUUUGUUUUCAUCAAUAUCAUUUGGUUCUUAUUAGUCUCAUGGUAGGUACAAUUGAAGUUGUUUUUAUUACACAAACUUAACUUUAUAUUUUUUUUUCAACACUUAAAUCAAAUUUAGAUUUCUAAGUAAUUUCGGAGGAUAUUGGGAGAGGGCUAUAGAACUUAACUUAAAUAUCUAAAUUUUCUAUAUUUGUUUGGCAAAGAUACAAACCAUCCAUAGCUUUUGGGGUCCUCUAAUCAUGAAUCUGUUGAAAACAGUGGCAACGUUUGGGCAAGUAAAAUGCAGGCAAUAGCGGCUCGACCUUUAGGCAACUUAGGCGGUUGCCUAAGGCCUCGCUUCCCACGAGAUGAUUAUUUUAUAUAUUAAAGGAGAAAAUGAAUUUAAAAGUCAUUAUUAUUCAUUUACUUUAUUAUUAUUUUGUAAUUAUCAUUUCCUAAAUAAACUAUUAAAUUCCUAUAAAGUUUAUUUAAUAUAGUACUUAAUAGUUUUAAUUUCUACAAAAAUGAUAAAUUAAUAGUUUCAAUCUUACAAAUUCUCUAUUUCAUUGUUAGAAUUAAUAUGUUAUAUUUCAAAAGUUAGCAGUUUUAAUUUCUACAAAACCGAUAAAUUAAUAGUUUCAAUCCUACAAAUUCUCUAUUUCAUUGUUAGAAUUAAUAUGUUAUAUUUCAAAAGUUUUAUAUUCAUUUUAAACCUCUAUAAAAGCCUCACAUUUUAUUACUUAUCCAUUAAAUUUUUCCUCCAACAAUCAAGACAUAAUAUGUUCUUGGUGUUUGAGAGAAAGAAAGAGAGAGAGGGAAAAAAAAUCCUACUACCUCUACUUUUCACCCAAGAAUAAAAAAAAAAAUCUAAUAGUUCUUUCUAUUCUUUAUGGCUAUUGAUCAUUACUCAAAUCUUCAAACAAUUAAUAUAAACAUAAGUUAAUUUAUGAUUUCAUCUCAAAUUUCAGAUUUUAUCUUUUUAUUAUUCUCCUAAUUAAUUGUGUUAUUUAUUUGUUCUUAUUUUUUAAAUAUAUUCUUUUAUUCAUCUAAUUUUUUGUGUGUGCUUGUUUUAUCUAUUUUAAUUUGAAAUAAAACUAUAUAAAAAAAUUUUAGAGAAUAGAAAAAUAGAAAAAUUAGUUUAAUUUAGAAAAGCAGUUGUUAAAAAAAGAUAUAAUUUGAGUUAAAAAAAUAAUAAGUGAAAAUGUUAUAAUUAAAUUAAGGGAGCUCCUAUGUUAUAAUUAAUGUAACAUACACACUCAACAACAACCACAUAAAUGAUAGGCCCACACAAUUUAUGUGGUUGUUGUUAAGUGUGUAUGUUACAUUAAUUGUAACAUAGCAUUUGCCUUAAAUUAAAAUUUCAUGGAUUAACAACAGUAAAAUAAAAUAUUAUUAAUAAUUUUAUAUUUUAGAGUGUUUAAAGAAUUGAUUUUUAAUAAAUAAUAAAUAACAUAUAACUUAUAUAUAUAUAUAUAUAUUAUUAAAUUUUAAAAAGAACUAAUUAAAAUUAUUUGCAUAAUACUUCAAAUAUGACUGAACCGCCCUACAUGCAGGAAUGUUCGUGCUCUGCAAAUGCGAGAGGUGCGGCUACCUAUCAAAUAUUUGAAAUUUGAUGAUUUAAGGUCCCACAACAAUGUCGGUGCCCCGACGGGAUUUAACAGCGUUGGUGCUAUCUUUCAUUUUCAAUUUUUUUUUUCUUUUAAAGGAAAAGGAUUGGGUUUUUGUUAAAAAAAUAAUUAUUAUUAUGAUAAGAGAGUAAUUAAUUAAAAAAAUUGUCGAUUUUUAUUUUAUGUAUAAAUAAUAUAAUAUUUAAUAAUUAUUACUGGGAUUAUAUUUUUUUUUAUUAAAGAAUAAAUAAUUAAAAUUAUUCUAAAAAUAAAACAAUUAAACAUAUUUCUAAGUUUACCAAAAAUUAAUUAUUUCUUUACUAUAAAACAAACACGAAAACACCAUUUUAAAAAACAACAGAAAAAAGGCAUCCGAAAUUUGUGAGGGAAUCUUGACGUUGACCUCAGUCGUCUCUUAGACUUUUGGAUGAAACAUGAUGUAUGAUUGAAUGAUCUCAGUCUUCAUCAUCUCAAGUUCUCUGAAGCCACCAUCUCAGGUUACCCUUGUCUUGUUUUCGGCUUUUUGAUCUCAAGGGCACCUUAAUAGUCCAUCCCGUGAGUCGCAACUGUUGUUUGAAAUUUGGGUUUCUGUCCAUCCUUAAUUUCUUCCUCCCAGAUCACAUCUUAUUUUGCCAUCUGAUUCUAUCCACCCUUUUCAUUGUUGUCGUUGGUGUUUUGUAUUUCAUCUUCAUGUCCCUUUCCCUCUCUCAUUUCUCUGUACCGUGUACACUUAUCAUUGUAGUUUCCCUCUGAUUUUCUCCACUCUCUUUGUUCAUAUUGGAUAAAACACCUCCACUUAUAUUCAACUUUUGAUCUCACAACCACUUUGCUUUUGUUGCUGUUAGCUGUUUUGACCUGGUGUUCUGUUCUGUACAUUUGCUACUCUGUUUUAUUUCCCUUUGGUUUCCUUUGCAUCCGUUUCUCAAAACUUUAAAAGGAAAAAAAAAAGUUGAAAAUGGUUGAUGCUGUUGUUACCGUUGCUUUGGAAGUUGCCAAGUGCUUGUUCCCUCCGAUCGGGCGCCAGUUAAGUUAUGUGCGUAAGUACAAAGCCAACCUUGAGAAUCUCAACAAAGAAACUGAGAAGUUGACCGAUGCAAGAGAUAGCAUGCAGAAAAAGGUUGAUGAUGCGAGAAGGAACGGGGAUUUGAUUGACAAAAGAGUUGAGAGUUGGCUGAUUGGUGUCGACAAGAUCAUUGCUGAGGCGGACACGUUAACUGGAGAAGAAGAAAAUGCAUAUAAGAGAUGUUUCAAGGGGCUCUGUCCUAAUCUUAAGAAACGCUAUCAACUUAGCCAGAAAGCGGCCACAAAGGAGAAGAGCAUCGCGGAGCUCAGGGAAGAAGCUGAGAAAUUUGCUCAAAUUUCCUGCCCUACUGUUCCAGAAGAGCCUUGGCUGAGGUCUGGCAAAGGUUACGAGGCCUUUGAAUCAAGAAUAUCGACUUUACAGAAUGUGCAAAGAGCAUUACUUGAUCCUGAUAUCAGCAUCAUUGGGGUGUAUGGGAUGGGGGGCGUUGGGAAGACGACCCUCGUGAAGGAAGCGGCUAGGCGAGCCAAAAAAGACAAGCUAUUUGACAAGGUAGUUUUUGCAGAAGUAUCUGAGACUCCAGAUAUCAGAAAGGUUCAAGAGGAACUUGCGGAUCAGCUAGGUAUGAAAUUUGACGAGGAGAGUGAUGUACCCGGAAGAGCUAGGAGGCUAUAUGCAAGGUUGCAGAACGAGAACAAGAUCCUCGCAAUUUUAGACAACAUUUGGGAAGAACUUGAUCUGGAAAAAGUAGGAGUUCCUUCUGGAAAUGAUUGUAGGGGAUGUAAAGUCUUGCUGACAGCAAGAGAUCGUCAUGUGUUGGAGAGUAUUGGGUCCAAGACUUUAGGGAUUGAUGUUUUGAGUGACGAAGAAGCGUGGACUCUAUUCAAGAAGAUGGUGGGAGACUGUGCUGAAAAUGGCGAAUUAAAAUCUAUAGCAACUGAUGUGGCUAAAGAAUGUGGAGGUUUGCCCAUUGCCAUCGUUACACUGGCAAAAUCAUUAAGAAACAAGAGUAGUGUCUCUACAUGGAAAGAUGCCUUAAGGCAAUUGAAAAGUCCUUCCCCUUGGAACUUUAAAGGAGUGCUCGCGAAGCCAUAUUCAGCUAUAGAAUUGAGUUACAACUAUUUAAGAGAGGAGGAGCUCAAGCAACUAUUUUUGCAGUGUAGUCUGAUGGGAUCCCCACAGGCUUCCAUGCAAGACUUGUUGAAAUAUGCAAUAGGUUUGGGUAUAUUGAAAGGCGUCUGUACAGUGGAAGAAGCACGAGAUAAAGUAAAUACGUUGGUCGAUCAACUCAAAGAUGCUAGUUUGUUGCUUGACGGCACUAACAGCUAUUGGUUUUCCAUGCAUGACGUUGUUCGUGAUGUUGCCAUAUCAAUUGCAUCUAGAGACUAUCAUGUAUUUACAAUGAGAAACGAAGGUGAUCCGAGGCAGUGGCCAGAUAAGAAGUGCUCAAGAAUAUCAUUAUAUGACAAUACUAUUAGUGAAAUUCCUCAAGGGUGGGAAUGCCCUCAGCUUGAGUUUUUCUACAUUUUUGCCCCCAAUAAUUCUCCUCUCAAAAUCCCCGACAACAUUUUCAUCGGGAUGCCGAAGCUCAAAGUUUUAGAUUUUACUAGAAUGAGGUUACUGUCACUACCGUCGUCGAUUCAUCUCCUAACAGACCUUCGAACAUUGUGUCUGGAUGGUUGCCAAUUGGAAGACAUUAGAGUUAUUGGAGAGCUGAGAAAGCUAGAAAUUCUUAGCUUGCAGGCUUCUGUAAUUGAGCAAUUGCCUAUGGAGAUAGGCCAAUUGACUCAGCUAAAGUUGUUAGAUUUGAGCUAUUGUUCCAAAUUAAAAGUGAUUGCACCAAAUGUUCUAUCAAACUUAUCUCAACUGGAAGAAUUGUAUAUGGCUCGUUGCUAUAUCAAAUGGGAGCAUCUAGGACUCAGCAUUGAGAGAAGUAAUGCCAGCCUCGUUGAAUUGAAGAAUUUAUCUCGUUUGACUACUUUAGAGAUAAAUAUUCUUGAUGCAGGGAUUCUACCGAGUGGCUUCUUCUCAAGAAAGCUGGAGAGGUAUAGAAUUGUCGUGGGGAGUGAGUGGGACCGGUUUGAUAAAUAUAAGACUCGGAGAACUUUGAAACUCAAGCUCAACUCUCGCACUUGCUUGGAGGAGUGGCGGGGCAUGAAGAACGUGGAAUACUUAUGUUUAGAGGAAUUGCCGGGUUUGACGAAUGUUCUUCAUGAUUUGGAUGGGGAGGUUUUUGCAGAGCUGAAACAUCUCAAUAUCCGAAAUAAUCCCAAUUUUUUACGUAUAGUUGAUCCGCUACAGGUACGUUGCCGUGCCUUUCCAAUGUUAGAGUCUCUGGUUCUUAAGAAUUUGAUUAAUUUGGAGACAAUAUGUCAUGGUCACCUCCAAGCAGAAUCUUUCUGCAAUUUGAAAACCAUAAAAGUGGAAAGUUGUCAUAAAUUGAAAAAUUUGUUCUCAUUCUCCACUGCCAAAUUCCUUCCCCAACUUGGAACAAUUGAAGUGACUGGGUGCAAUAAUGUAGAAGAGAUUUUUGUUUCUAGCAAUGAAGAGGCAAUCGGUGAGAUUGCAUUGGAGCAAGUACGGUUCUUGAUUCUUAGAACUCUUCCAUUGUUCACAAGCUUCUCCGCCUUUGUCAAGACAACUUCUACUGUGGAAGCAAAGCACAAUGAAAUCAUUUUGGAGAACGAGAACCAUAUUUACACUCAUCCGUCACUUUUCAAUGAAAAGGUAAGUGAACAAACCUUAUUAUCUUAUUUUAUUAGUACUACUGCUAUCACAAGAACUCAUAUUGAAACAACUGUGUGUGCAGCUUGUGCUUCCUAACUUGGAGGUCUUGGAAGUCCGGGAUAUUAAUGUUGCAAAGAUAUGGCACAACCAAAUUUCAGCAGUAAUGUCUUGUAACGUUCAAAAUUUAACAAGCUUGGUCGUGGAGGACUGCUGCAAAUUAAGAUACGUGUUUUCAUAUUCUACAGCUAAAAGACUUGGGCAGCUUCAACACCUAGUGAUAUCCAGGUGCCCACUUCUGGAGGAAAUUGUUGGCAAGGAAGGUGGAGUGGAAGCGAAUCCUUCUUUUGUCUUUCCACUGUUAACAAUCCUGAAACUCAGCUCACUACCAGAGUUUAGAGCUUUCUAUCCUGGAAUACACACUUUGGAAUGUCCCAUUUUAACUAGGUUGGAAGUGUCUCAUUGUGACAAACUAGAAAGUUUCUCUUCAGAAUCGUAUAGCCUCCACGAAAAUAAUGAGGAGGGCCAACUUAUUGAAGUGCCAGUGCCAGCGCAACAGCCCCUGUUCUUGGUUGAAAAGGUACGAGUCUCUUUUCUAUAAUAUAUGGUUUGUUUAUUUCAACAUUUAUUUUAUUUUAGUGAUAAUAAUCAUAAUUAUAUUCUUCUUUGGAAUUUUUUGAAUGAACAUCAACUCCAACUUGUUUAUGUUUGAUUGGUCAUCAGGUCUUACCCAAUUUGGAGGAAUUGAGAUUAAGCAAGAACAAGGAUAUCGCAAAGAUAUGGCAUGGUCCGUUUCCAGACCAUCUUUUAAACAAACUCGAAGUUCUGGCGAUUGAGAAUGAUGAAUCGGAAGUUUUAUCACCUGACUUACUCGAGAGAUUUCACAAUCUGGUCAGUCUCCAACUAGAACGUAGUUCUUACAAAGAGUUAUUCUCAAAUGAAGGGCAGGUUGAGAAACAUGUCGGAAAGCUCGCUCAGAUAAAACAUUUAAAGCUGAGGCGACUAAAUGAUCUAAAGCACCUGUGGCUGUGGGAACAAAACUCCAAAUUGAACACGGUUUUUCAAAAUCUUGAAACUCUAUCUGUACACUUUUGUCUUAAUCUGACAAAUCUAAUGCCUUCCUCUGCCUCUUUUCGGUGUCUGAGAGAACUGAGGGUAUGCGCUUGCGAGCAUCUGAUAAACUUGGUAGCAUCCUCGGCAGCAAAAAAUCUAGUGCAACUCGUACAUGUGUCGGUAAGUGAAUGCAGUAAAAUUACCGAGUUGGUGGUAGCAAGUGAGGGAGAUGCAGCAAAAGACGAGAUUAUCUUCCCCAAACUGGAGUACUUGAAUCUUCAUCGUCUACAAAGUCUCACAACCUUCUGCUCUGCAAACUACACUUUUAAAUUCCUGUCUUUAUGGCGGUUAUCAGUGUCUGCUUGCCCCAAGAUGAAGAUUUUCUGCGGAGGAGUCUUUAGCGCACCAAGAUUAAAAGAAGUGUGGCUAAAUGGUCAAAAUUGUUGGGACCGUGACCUCAAUACAACCAUACAACUGUCGUAUUACAAAACGGUGCGUAUUCAUCAACCAAACCAUUUUUUUGUUUUUUUCACUGGAGGAUUGUUUGUUUUGACACCAUUUUUUUGUUUUUUUCACUUGAUUUAAAUUUUAUAAUUCAAUUUAAAUCUUUUUUUUAUCAAAAUUGAAAUUACAUAUAUGAUUGCAUAUUGUUAUAAUUAGAUAAUUUAAUAACAAAUAGUACAAAAAAAUUUUAUAUAUCGUAAAAAAAAUUUCAAAAAAAGUAACAUUGUGCAAUUAAAUAGUUAAAAGACACUACUAAUUUUAAUUAAUUAUUAAUCCGAUUUUCUUGUUUUAACAGUAUAAAUAUUAUAUUUCAUUUGUUUGCACGUUAAAUUACAAUACAAUUUUGAAUUUACCAAUACAAUUUUUUAUUAUUGCAAUAAAGAUAAAAUAGUUUGAAUUAAUAUCUAAACAUUUAGUACAAUCCUAUAUAAUAUUAUAAUGUGAGUAGGCUUCUCAAAUCUUACCUAGCAAACUAGAAAGCCACUGCCAUAGAACCUCUAAAAAUGUAGAUGCAUAUGAUGAAUGAGUUCAUAAGAUUUUUUAAAUUAGUACCUCUAUACACUUCGGCUAUGUUUGACAGGCAAGAUUACAUUGCACUAAGUAUUAGGAUUAGACUAAAUUAAAUUGAAUUAUAUCUAACUUAUGUAUAGUACACUAUCGAAUUUGAUUAUAUUAGAUUAAAUUUAAAUGGUAUUUAAGUUAAUAUUUGAAUUUAAAUAUCAACUAUAUAUAGAUAUUUAAUAAGAAAUAUUAUAAUUAAUAAAAUAAUAAUAAUAAUAAUAUUAUAUUUAUAUAUAUUAUUCAAUUAGUUAUGUGAUAGUCACAAUUAGAAUGAAGAAAUAUAAAUUAUUUAAAUUAUAGGUUGUUUCAUAUGAGAUAUAUCAUUUCAUUAAAUAAAAUUAUUCAAAUAAUAAAUUAAUUAAUAGUUUUUAAGUAAAUCAUGAAUAACGAAAAAUAAAUUACUUAAUUAAUAACAAUAAAUAAAUAAAUAAAUUUUAAGUUAUAAAUAAAAAUAAUGUAAUGAAUUAUAGAAGAUAUCAUAAAUAUAAUUUUUUUCUCAUUGCCUAAUCCUAUUUAAACCCACAUGAAAAUUGAGAUUACUAAUCCCAUGAAUUUAGGAUAAAAAUUUGAAUUUAAUCCAUUAGUCCAAUGCAAGUGAGCAUGACAAACAUAGGAUUAAUAGUUUAUCCAAAAAUUAAUCCAAUCCUAUACUUAGGUGGCGUUUGUUUUUUGGUCUGAAAUAUGAAUAGAGUUGAAUGUCUGAAUCUGAAUCAUAAGUUUGUUUUUCUAUCUGAAUAGCUAAAAAUAAAUAUUAAGUUCUUUUUUCUAACUUAAAAAAAUCUGAAAACUAUUGUUUUUACAUUUAUGUCCUUACAAAUUAUAAAUGUUAAACAAAUAAUAAACAUCUCAAGAAAUAUAAAUAAGAUAAUAAAUUAUUAUAACAUAAAUCAUAUUUAAUUUGAUACAACUCUUUAAUAUUCUAUAUUAUUUAUGUUAAUCAAUUUUAUUAUAAUUUAUGAUGUUUUUAAUGAAAAAUAUUCAUAAAAAUUUAUGAAGACAAAUAAUGUUAAUUUUUUAAGAAAAUAAAUAGAUAACAAUAAUAAUAGUCUACAACUAUUAUUAUCACAAGUUAUAUAGAGAGGGUAAUAAUGCUAAUUAUUAAAUUUUAUUUAAGUAAGGAUAAAAAUUAAUUAAUUAAAUAAGGAUAUUUUGGAGAAUAUCUUUAAAUGAUAUCAUUCAGACUUUUUAAAUUAAGUAAAAAGCUAAAAAAAUUAGCUUAAUGAUUUAAUGGCUGAAAUUUUUUAUUAAGUUGAAAAACAACAAACUUGACAACUUAACUGAUUAAAAUUAAGUCAAUUAAGUCAUUAAGUAAAAAAAAAAAAACAACCUCUUAAUCCCAACUCCCAAACAUAACCUUCAGGAGUAACUAGGGUAAUCAAAUUGGCUGCCCUAAGACCCUCAUUUGGAUUCAAUUGACUACAAAGAUUCAACAUAAUUGGCAAAUAAAAUAAUCAACUCACUUGUCGCAGAAGCUAGUUUAAGCAAUUUAUAUCAGAAGUGAACUAAUUGACAUGUCUUUAGGGAACAUCCUUUCACCUUAAAUUAAAAAUGUUGCUUUUUUUUUUUUUUUUAAAUUUCAGAAUGCUCAGAGUUCCACAGAUGAUUCAGGUCAAUCUUCAAUGUACCAUCAGGAAUAAUACCUUUUCUCUAUGAUGUUUAUUAGUCACGAGUUUUUUCAUUGAUGAUCAUUUCCUUGUAUUGGAAUCAGGUGCAAACAAGCCCUUCUGUUUCUAUCUUCACUGUUCUGCUUUGGCUCUCUUCAACUUUUGUGUUGCUCUUUUGAAAGUGCUAUUAUAAAACUUACAUUCCAUGUAAUCGAUUGAGAUUCAAUGGUUGAAUGGUCCUCAAUAGUUUCCUGGUUGCUGUAUUCUGUGAGAUUCUCAGGCACCCAAAAGACAAAUUAAGUACCAAAAUUAAGGAUAUAUAGUUGAACUUUGCCUUUGCGUGCAACUUGAAUAUAUUGUGUUCUAUGAGUAGGAACCCACAUAAAUGGUUCCUCAUUAACAUGGAUUGCCGUUGCUUGUGGUUCAAGCAACCUUGUUUACUAGUUGAUUCCUUGUCUUCUUAAUCAGAAAUCAUGGGAUACACUGGUUGUAAUUCUAGUCAUGCAGUAAAAUAUAAGUAUUGGCAAAUCGCAUUGAGCAGGAGAUUCAGAGCCAUAAAGCUUUGGAUUGUUAUUAGCAGAUAUGGCUUGGCUAACCUUAUGGAUCACAUUUGUAGCAAGUGUCAAAGAGUUCAUGUAUAGUGUCAAAGACUUCUUACCAUGACGAAGGCCGUUAUGUUUUCUCUUGUCAACCAUAUUUUUUCUGAGCGUUCAUCUUCUGAAACUGUUAGUAGAAUGUCAAGUAAAUCAUUUGGUGCAUCAAACCUUAACACCGUUAAAAAUUUGUUGAAGUCUCAAGAGUAUUUGAGCAAUUCCAAACUAAAGUUAUUUUCUUGAUUCUUUUACACAUUUUUAUCUUUUUCUCUGAACAUCUGAUUUACAAGCUUUUUUUUUUUCCUUUAUUUCAGUUAUUAUAUUAAAUUGGUAACAGUUGAAAUAGUAGCUGGAAAAAUAUGGUUGUCAAAAAACUUUGGUGAUCUAACAUUUAGUCCAUUUACUUAUUUGGUUUUAAUUUAUUUAAUGUUAAAAUUACAUACAUACAAUGCACAAGACAUUAGUAGGAAUCCGGUCCAAUCUUAGUACCACAACAGAACGUGUCCUUAAGUCUCAUUAGAAAAGUUAGUCUGAGAAAUUUAGAGCAGAAAUGAACUAAGUAACACAUCUUUAGAGUUUGUACAUUCACCAUUAAUAUGAUGCUCUUCAUGAUUACAGAAUGUUCAAACUUUCGAAGAAGAUUCAGGUCAACCUUCAAUUCAGAAUCCGGAAUAAGGUCAUUUCUCUAUGACAGUUUAUGAGUUUAUCAUUGAAGAAUCUUCACUUUCUGUGUUGCUCUUUUGGAAGUGUCAUUACAUUUCCUUCAUGUAAUAGUUUGAGAUUCAAUGGUCGAAAGACCAUUAAUUAGCAUUAAUAAUUUUCUGGUUGCAGCAGUACGCUGUAUCCUGUGGCAAUCAGCAUGUGUGUGCAAUUUGUAUUUUCUUGUGAUUGAAUUUCUGGAGUUCUAUUCUUUUAGAAUUGAUAAAUUCAAAGGGUAUGUUGGUCUAUUGGUCUUGAUGCUGUUGUUAGAUAUACCAGUGGGGACAUUAUGCUUGCAGCAGUAAAGACCUAUAAAUUUUUGGGAUAACGAAUUCUCAGAGGCAGAGGCUCUUAGUUUUGGAUUUUGGAAUUUAAGUAAGCUCGAAUCUGAUGCUAAAACUUUUGUGAACGGAAAUGAUCCUAAGUCAGAAGGAAAAUCUUCAGAAGGAAUUGUUAGGAGUAAUCAUUAUCUUACUUUCAAAUUUAUCUCGAGGAGCUAUAAUGAAACAACUCAUAGGCAUGAACUUUACAAUGAACGUUGUAAAGCAUCCUCCAUAUAUGGAAAUGGAAAGGAACCCAUCUUUAUAUAUAUGUGUCAUACUUCUACGUAUCAUAGAUUUUUAUCUUAAUUCAAAUCUGAAUUUUGUCAAAUUCAGACGUAUGGACGUAUAUAUAUUCAAAGUAACCCAUCUGUAUUUUUGUAUGUGUAUUCAAAGUCGUUUGCGUAUAUAUAAUUCGAGAGUAGAAUUGAAGAUUUAUAUUAAAACGCAUAGAUACAUUUUAACUAACAGUUACAUAGAUAUACAUUUUAAUUAACACUUUAAUGGAUCAAGGCAUGACCACCUUCUGAAAAGUGAAUGAGUUAAUUUCUACGCAAAUUUUACCUCUAAGCCAUUUGUGAACCAUUAUGUUUUCCACUGAGUUAUCAAAAAAUCAUCGUUUUGCUAAUCAAAUGUUUUCUCUUAUCCUUCAAAAACAAAAAAAACAAAAAGAAACACAAAACUAAAAGCAGCAGCCUGAUUUGGCUCUUUCACUAAAAUGUUGAAUUCCCAAGACAAUGUUGAAGUUAACAGCACCUGCCAGACUCUACUUAACAAACACAAAAGCAACAAAACUAAAACCAGAACAUUUUUCUUUUGUUUCCCCACAAACUCGUCCUCAAUUCACAACACAACAACAACACAAUCAGCAACACUUGCAACAACAAAAACAAAAACACUUGAUGCAUAUCCUACAAAACAGCCAAACACCAAACAACAUUACCACUCAAAUCCACUCUCACUUACUCACCACUAACUCACUGCUACACCACUCACAACUCUUCAACACUCUUCUUCACUUCUACUCGCUCGCUGAGUCACCUCAAAAAGCUUUCUUGCUCUACAAACAACUUCAACAAAUUUACACACACUCUCACUCUCCAUUGCCGCCUCUCUUUGACAGCUUCACUUACUCUUUCCUUAUAAGAACCUGCGCUACUUUAAGCCAUCCUAACUUGGGUACCCAGCUUCAUGCUGUUAUUUCCAAAGUGGGUUUUCAAUCUCAUGUUUAUGUGAACACUGCUUUG
rnacentral:lncRNA from 1 species